rnacentral:rRNA from 1 species
GCGCGUAAAUUGCCCGAAUCCUGACACAGGGAGGUAGUGACAAGAAAUAACAAUACAGGGCUCUUCGAGUCUUGUAAUUGGAAUGAGUACAAUUUACAUCUCUUCACGAGGAUCAAUUGGAGGGCAAGUCUGGUGCCAGCAGCCGCGGUAAUUCCAGCUCCAAUAGCGUAUACUAAAGUUGUUGCAGUUAAAACGCUCGUAGUCGGAUUUCGGGGCGGGCCCGCCGGUCUGCCGAUGGGUAUGCACUGGCGGGCGCGUCCUUCCUCCCGGAGACGGCUGCUACUCUUAACUGAGCGGUGGCCGGAGACGGGAUGUUUACUUUGAAAAAAUCAGAGUGUUUCAAGCAGGCAGUCGCUCUUGCAUGGAUUAGCAUGGGAUAAUGAAAUAGGACUCUGGUGCUAUUUUGUUGGUUUCGAGCACCGGAGUAAUGAUUAACAGGGACAGUCAGGGGCACUCGUAUUCC